CUGGCGACUCUCUUCAACUUCCCCAUCUCCAUCUAUAUAACCCUUUGGCUACUUACAAAGCUCAAGUAUUCUCCAAACCUAUAUGAAAUACCCACCGCAGCUAUGGCUGGACAAACUCCAACUCAACUGCACGAAACCCAGUCGAGCCGUGUUGAAACCCAGUUGAGGCGUGUUGAAGAAGAGUUAGAGUUUGUAUUAUGAUCAGAGUACGCAAAUCUCUGUAUAGAUCGACCGUUUAGAUCCCUGCAACUGAAUCGCCACGGCCGAAGAGACGACUUAGCAGAAGAUUAAAGAUGUUUUUUCGUUAGAGAACUUUCGUAUUGAAUCUCUUCAUAAACUCUUGGCAAGCUUAUGUUAAGUUUAAUUUUCUAAAUCUGAUCUGAUUUGAUUCGAUAUUAUAAAUCGAUGAAAUUAACCUUUUAAAUUUAGUCAUGAAUGAAAAUUUCCUUUGAGAUUAGGAAGCAGAAGUAUAUUGAAGCUCCAGAUUGAAAUGACAAAGCAAAAUCUGCUCAAAUAUUAGCCACAGACCUGAAAGUUUUUGCGGCUUUCAACCAACUUUACAAAGAGAUCACUCAGCUUCUGGCUCUAGAGAAUUUUAGGGAAAACGAGAAAUUGUUAAAAUAUGGUGAUACAAAAUCAGCCAGGAAUAUAAUGUUUACUGAGUUGCAGAAGCUGAUCGAGGGAAAUCCUUUGUUUGAUGUGAAGCUUCCCUUUCCCAGUUUCAAGGCUUCCCAGCUCAGAACUUUGAUCAAUCAAAGGUUGUACAAAGUCUUGAACAUUCUUGAGUUCAGUAGCACGAGGCAAAAUAUGCCACUAAUAGUGCAUGAUAAAGAUGGGAAACUCUGACUACUUUUUGAAGGACCAAAUAAGUAAGUGUGACUGGUGCCUUCAUAUAACAAAGUAUACAUAUCUUCCUUUUCAAAUUAUUUUAUGCCACUUCCUUUUCAAAAAUUUUGGAGAAUGCAUGCUUGAUCAUUCAC